rnacentral:rRNA from 1 species
AGUGAACGCUGGCGGUAGGCCUAACACAUGCAAGUCGAACGGCAGCACAGUAAGAGCUUGCUCUUACGGGUGACGAGUGGCGGACGGGUGAGGAAUACAUCGGAAUCUACUUUUUCGUGGGGGAUAACGUAGGGAAACUUACGCUAAUACCGCAUACGACCUACGGGUGAAAGCAGGGGAUCUUCGGACCUUGCGCGAUUGAAUGAGCCGAUGUCGGAUUAGCUAGAUGGCGGGGUAAAGGCCCACCAAGGCGACGAUCCGUAGCUGGUCUGAGAGGAUGAUCAGCCACACUGGAACUGAGACACGGUCCAGACUCCUACGGGAGGCAGCAGUGGGGAAUAUUGGACAAUGGGCGCAAGCCUGAUCCAGCCAUACCGCGUGGGUGAAGAAGGCCUUCGGGUUGUAAAGCCCUUUUGUUGGGAAAGAAAAGCAGCAGGUUAAUACCCCGCUGUUCUGACGGUACCCAAAGAAUAAGCACCGGCUAACUUCGUG